AUUGAACGCUGGCGGCAGGCCUAACACAUGCAAGUCGAGCGAGCGGCGGACGGGUGAGUAAUGUCUGGGCAUCUGCCUGAUGGCGGGGGCUAACUACUGGAAACGGUAGCUAAUAUCGCAUACCAUCAGAUGUGCCCAUAUGGGAUUAGCUAGUAGGUAGGGUAAGGGCUCACCUAGGCGACGAUCCCUAGCUGGUCUGAGAGGAUGACCAGCCACACUGUGACUGAGACACGGCCCAGACUCCUACGGGAGGCAGCAGUGGGGAAUCUUCGGCAAUGGACGAAAGUCUGACCGAGCAAUGCAGCGUGAAUGAAGAAGGUUUUCGGAUCGUAAAACACUUUUGGUAGAGAAGCGGUAUCUAACCAGAAGGCCCCGGCUAACUACGUGCCAGCAGCCGCGGUAAUAC
rnacentral:rRNA from 1 species